rnacentral:rRNA from 1 species
AUUGAACGCUGGCGGCAGGCCUAACACAUGCAAGUCGAACGAGUGGCGGACGGGUGAGUAAUGUCUGGGAAACUGCCUGAUGGAGGGGGAUAACUACUGGAAACGGUAGCUAAUACCGCAUCCCAUCAGAUGUUCCCAGAUGGGAUUAGCUGGUUGGGGGGUUAACGGCUCACCAAGGCGACGAUCCCUAGCUGGUCUGAGAGGAUGACCAGACAUGCGGGAACGGAGACACGUUCCAGACGCAUACGGGAGGCAGCAGGGGGGAAUAUUGCACAAUGGGAGGAAGCCUGAGUCAGCCAUGCCGGGUGUAUGAAGAAGGCCUUCGGGUUGUAAAGUACUUUCAGCGGGGAGGCGUUACCCGCAGAAGAAGCACCGGCUAACUCCGUGCCAGCAGCCGCGGUAAUUC